GAUGAACGCUGGCGGCGUGCCUAAUACAUGCAAGUCGAGCGAACAGAUAAGGAGCUUGCUCCUUUGACGUUAGCGGCGGACGGGUGAGUAACACGUGGAUAACCUACCUAUAAGACUGGGAUAACUUCGGGAAACCGGAGCUAAUACCGGAUAACAUAUUGAACCGCAUGGUUCAAUAGUGAAAGGCGGCUUUGCUGUCACUUAUAGAUGGAUCCGCGCCGUAUUAGCUAGUUGGUAAGGUAACGGCUUACCAAGGCAACGAUACGUAGCCGACCUGAGAGGGUGAUCGGCCACACUGGAACUGAGACACGGUCCAGACUCCUACGGGAGGCAGCAGUAGGGAAUCUUCCGCAAUGGGCGAAAGCCUGACGGAGCAACGCCGCGUGAGUGAUGAAGGUCUUCGGAUCGUAAAACUCUGUUAUCAGGGAAGAACAAAUGUGUAAGUAACUGUGCACAUCUUGACGGUACCUGAUCAGUAAGCCACGGCUAACUACGUG
rnacentral:rRNA from 1 species